rnacentral:rRNA from 1 species
CCUACGGGUGGCAGCAGUGAGGAAUAUUGGUCAAUGGACGGAAGUCUGAACCAGCCAUGCCGCGUGCAGGAAGACGGCUCUAUGAGUUGUAAACUGUUUUUGUACAAGGGUAAACCUGAAUACGUGUAUUCUGCUGAAUGUACUGUACGAAUAAGGAUCGGCUAACUCCGUGCCAGCAGCCGCGGUAAUACGGAGGAUCCAAGCGUUAUCCGGAUUUAUUGGGUUUAAAGGGUGCGUAGGCGGAUGGAUAAGUUAGAGGUGAAAUGUCCGAGCUUAACUCGGGAACUGCCUCUAAUACUGGUGAGCUAGAGAGUAGAAGCGGUAGGCAGAAUGUAUGGUGUAGCGGUGAAAUGCUUAGAGAUCAUACAGAACACCGAUUGCGAAGGCAGCUUACCAAUCUAUAUCUGACGUUGAGGCACGAAAGCGUGGGGAGCAAACAAGAUUAGAUACCCUUGUAGUC